GGAAAUCCCUCCUCUUGUCUUGAAGACUCGGCCAUGAUCGCAGAACCGUCCUGCUCUUCAUCAGCUCUGAGAGCAAAGAAGACUGCUUCACGUUUAAUCUUCAACACAAAGAUGUACAGCUGAAGAUGGAAACUUUGAUCUAUGAUUGGUUCACCUGAUAAUAUGUCAGGUCACCACUGCAUACUACAGCAGGCCAAAUGUUGGUUUUCGCCAUGUGGACCUUAAGCUGCUUCAGAUGUCAUGCUGUGGUCAGGAGAUGCACCAGAUGUAAUCCUUUUACAGUCCUGUGCUGAUCAGGAGACGAGCCGUUUGAGCAGCGGUGGAACACAAACACACAUGGUUUUUGCUUCAUCUCAUCUGUGAGCCAAUUGACCAGUGUGUCUGUGGGGAAGCCUCGUUUGAAAGUGUUGCUGGAGCUGAUGGAUCUUCAUCUGGAGGAUGUCUAAAGUUUAUUUGUCAAUUCUUUUUAUUUAAUGCCUUCCAUUAAUAAAACCUGUCUGCAAUAAAAAUGUCUAGACUGGAUCUUUUGAUAGU